AUAAGCAGCUACAGCUGUGGUGGACAGCCCAUGUUUGACAUGUUUGAUGGAAAAAGAGAAUAGUCUGGAUUCACUCUGAUGCUGGCAGACAUAAACGGGGAAGACCCUUCACAGGAAUGUGGAUGGAGGUUGUGAUAGCUACAAGACAACCCCCUUCUUUAACUCUACAGGCCAGACUGGAGAACGACAGGUGGUUGCCAUGGUAAUGGGAGUGUUGCCUGCAAAAGGGUCAUCUCCAUAUAAGGCUGAUAUCCAGAGAGGUGCAGAAGAAGAAACGUGCGAAAGUAUCAGACCAAAGGCCACCCUCAACUGAUUCCAUCAGUCAUGUUGACAUUCUGUUUCUGUGACCCGCCAUAAAAGUCUAUACUACUUGGGUGUGGUGCUCUUUGUUCGUUUGGCUCUCCUGAGUGAGCAAAGAGACACGGCAGCCGUUUUUUUAACUUGAGCCUUCAAAUGCUUAAUAAAUUUAAAACAAUGCA